rnacentral:rRNA from 1 species
UGGUGGAGUGAUUUGUCUGCUUAAUUGCGAUAACGAACGAGACCUUAACCUGCUAAAUAGCCCGCGUCGCUUUGGCGGCGCGCUAGCUUCUUAGAGGGACUAUCGGCUCAAGCCGAUGGAAGUUUGAGGCAAUAACA